UAGGGAAUCUUCGGCAAUGGACGGAAGUCUGACCGAGCAACGCCGCGUGAGUGAUGAAGGUUUUCGGAUCGUAAAACUCUGUUGCCAGGGAAGAAAGGCCAGGCGAGUCACUGCGCCUGGAUUGACGGUACCUGAGAAGAAAGCCCCGGCUAACUACGUGCCAGCAGCCGCGGUAAUACGUAGGGGGCAAGCGUUGUCCGGAAUUAUUGGGCGUAAAGCGCGCGCAGGCGGUCUUUUAAGUCUGGUGUAUAAACCAAGGGCUCAACCUUUGGACGCAUUGGAAACUGGGAGACUGGAGUGUAGGAGAGGAAAGUGGAAUUCCACGUGUAGCGGUGAAAUGCGUAGAGAUGUGGAGGAACACCAGUGGCGAAGGCGACUUUCUGGCCUAUAACUGACGCUGAGGCGCGAAAGCGUGGGGAGCAAACA
rnacentral:rRNA from 1 species